rnacentral:tRNA from 1 species
GGCUUGAUAGCUCAGUCGGUAGAGCACUGCACCACUAUCGCAGAGAUCAUGGGUUUGAAUCCCGUUCAGGCCU